CCAGGGGGCCGGGCAGCCGCGUCGCUUAUGCGCCGAGGAAAGUCCGGGCUCCACGAAGCAAGGGUGGCGGGUAACCCCCGCCGGGCGGGUCUGCUUGCAGGCGAAGCCCAGGGAAAGUGCCACAGAGAGUAUACCGCCGAUGGCCCCGGAUCAGGUCCGGGGCACAGGCAAGGCUGAAAGGGUGCGGUAAGAGCGCACCGGGGCGUUGGUAACAAGGUCCGCAUGGCAAACCCCACCCGGAGCAAGACCGAAUAGGGGUGUCGCGCCGCAAGGCAGGCCGGCUUCGGCCGAGGCACCCGGGUUGGUUGCUUGAGCGCUGGGGCAACCCAGGGCCUAGAUGAAUGGCUGCCCCUGCGGCGCGGGUCCUUCACGGAUACCACCCGCAGGACAGAACCCGGCUUACAGGCCCCCUGGCACU
rnacentral:RNase_P_RNA from 1 species